ensembl:lncRNA
AUUGUGCCGAGCCGAGGAGGGUGGACAGACAUUUCCUACCUUAAGAGCCGCGGGCCUUCACCCGGCAGACAGUUUGAGCACUUGCUGCUAAAGCCAUGCAAGCAUCCCUGGCGGGGGAGCCGAGGCAGGGCCGCCAAGGAUGCUGCUGGCUCAUCUCUCGGUGCAGAGAUUACCAGUGUGGUCACUAGCUUUCCACAGUGUAUAUGCCAGGAAGUCUCAUGGGAACCUGUUUUCAGUUAGUCUCAACUGGGAAGGCCCAGAAGAUCCAUGGUUACCUCUCUCUGGGGAUGCUCAAUUGCCUUGUUACCUCGUUUCCUGCACCUCGAGAGGCAGAAGGCUAGUGGGACGGCAAAGCAGACCAAGGCUGCAG